AAAAGGAUUUUUAUGGCUUUCUUUUUACACCCGUCGUCAUUUGUUCGAUUAGUCACAGAAGGAUACGAUCGGGCGACGAAGGAAAAGGGGUUACGGGAGCAACGAAAUCAGACGGCGAGAAAGAAGCUCGCAGGCGCGCGGCUGCUACUCCGGAGGUCCUGGCCGAUCGAGAAGAGGGAGGCGGCUCCGGUGCUUGGCCGAACCGAAGGAGGAGAAGAGACGAAAGCAGCGAGGCUAUCUCUUUCUCGUGCGGCGAUUGCAGACUCAUCGCACCCGAAUGGCAUGCUCCAGUGGUCGAUUAGACUGAAGAAAAGGAACGGUCCAUGGGUGUUGCGAGCAGCAGCAGUGACGAGGUGAGACCUUCGGAGGUCUGGGGUUGUUGGGGACAGAAGUGGAUGAAGGCGAGGGCAGAGGAGGUCUCGGUGGUGUUUGCUCUACAGUCGCGAUGUUCCCCCUCUCGUUUUGACAGUUCCGAUCAACAAUAAAAAAUCGAUAGGCUUAAGUGGGUGCUUGGUUUUGGUUCAUGACAAGAAAGAAGGAAAAACGGAAGAGGAAUCAAGGAUGGCAGCAACUUCGAGGGGCAGGAGGAUCGUGAGGGAUAGAGAUUUUGAGUGAUCCUUUUUUUUUUUUUUUUUUUUUUUGAAUGCUUGAGUGUUUCGGUCGACAGGGAAAGAAAAUGAAUCAAGAAAAAAAAAGGUCUUGUUCUUCUUCUGGGUUGCUCACGAAUAGAAGAAGAUCAAGUGGUUUUGAGUGUUUAAUUGGUUAAAGGAGGUGUCCAAGAAUCAUUUUUUCUUGAGUGUAGAAUUUAUGUAUCUUAGGUGAGAUUUAGAAGCAAUAUCAUUUAUAAUGAAUUUGUUUGUGUGUGAACUUGGGUAAAUGGUAAUGUGGAAGCAAUGUUAUUCGGCUGUCAAUUUCUAUGUAUUUGGUUUAACUUGCAAUCAAUUUGUAAAUCAAUAAGUAUGUAAUUUAUUUGGGUAAAUGGUAAUGUGGAAGGAAUUUUAUUUGGCUAUCAA